rnacentral:rRNA from 1 species
UGUUUCGGCUAGGGGGCCAUCCCGGCUUACCAACCCGAUGCAAACUGCGAAUACCGGAGAAUGUUAUCACGGGAGACACACGGCGGGUGCUAACGUCCGUCGUGAAGAGGGAAACAACCCAGACCGCCAGCUAAGGUCCCAAAGUCAUGGUUAAGUGGGAAACGAUGUGGGAAGGCCCAGACAGCCAGGAUGUUGGCUUAGAAGCAGCCAUCAUUUAAAGAAAGCGUAAUAGCUCACUGGUCGAGUCGGCCUGCGCGGAAGAUGUAACGGGGCUAAACCAUGCACCGAAGCUGCGGCAGCGACACUGUGUGUUGUUGGGUAGGGGAGCGUUCUGUAAGCCUGUGAAGGUGGCCUGUGAGGGUUGCUGGAGGUAUCAGAAGUGCGAAUGCUGACAUAAGUAACGAUAAAGCGGGUGAAAAGCCCGCUCGCCGGAAGACCAAGGGUUCCUGUCCAACGUUAAUCGGGGCAGGGUGAGUCGACCCCUAAGGCGAGGCCGAAAGGCGUAGUCGAUGGGAAACGGGUUAAUAUUCCCGUACUUGGUGUUACUGCGAAGGGGGGACGGAGAAG